rnacentral:rRNA from 1 species
AUGAAGGAGGCAAUGGUCGAUCCGCCCACAUCUUGCCGCAGUGCGUGCGGCGACCAACUGCAGUCCUUCUCGGCAGGGCGCAGAUGUGAAAAGAGGAAGGUUCCGCUGCUUGCCCCACGGCCUGAGGCAGCCGCCCUCCUCCUCAUCAGAGCGCACGCCUGGAGCGGCGGCGGCGUGGAGGAGAGGGAGACAGAUUUGGCUGCGCUGGAGCAGACGAGGAAGAAGCAGAGGAUGCACGCUGUGGGCAGCAGAGGCCCGAUGGACCAACUAGCAACAGCAGAGUCAUGUUUUAUAACCACAUACCCAAUUUCCAUGACAAACGUGAGCUUCUUUUGUUUCUUUGCCAGAAAACAUUACUCAUUGCAAAUAAUUUACUUUGCCUUUCUCCACGGAGAUUCUUAUGAACUGCUUCCGAGUCCAAUCUAUGUGUACAUCAUUCCCUUUUUUGUGUGUGGAUAA